rnacentral:rRNA from 1 species
GACGAACGCUGGCGGCGUGCUUAACACAUGCAAGUCGAACGGAAAGGCCCUGCUUUUGUGGGGUGCUCGAGUGGCGAACGGGUGAGUAACACGUGAGUAACCUGCCCUUGACUUUGGGAUAACUUCAGGAAACUGGGGCUAAUACCGGAUAGGAGCUCCUGCUGCAUGGUGGGGGUUGGAAAGUUUCGGCGGUUGGGGAUGGACUCGCGGCUUAUCAGCUUGUUGGUGGGGUAGUGGCUUACCAAGGCUUUGACGGGUAGCUGGCCUGAGAGGGUGACCGGCCACAAUGGUACUGAGAUACGGCCCAGACUCCUACGGGAGGCAGCAGUGGGGAGUAUUGCACAAUGGGCGGAAGCCUGAGGCAGCAACGCCGCGUUCGGGAUGACAGCCUUCGGGUUGUAAACCGCUUUCGCCUGUGACGAAGCGUGAGUGGCGGUAAUGGGUAAAGAAGCACCGGCUAACUACGUG